UACGGAGGAGGCAAGCGUUAUCCGGAAUUAUUGGGCGUAAAGCGUCCGUAGGUGGUUUAGUAAGUCUGCUGUUAAAGCGCGGGGCUUAACUCCGUAUCGGCAGUGGAAACUACUAGACUAGAGUGUGGUAGGGGUAGAGGGAAUUCCCAGUGUAGCGGUGAAAUGCGUAGAUAUUGGGAAGAACACCGGUGGCGAAGGCGGCCUUCUGGACAGUGACUGACGCUGAGACGCGAAAGCGUGGGGAGCAAACAGG
rnacentral:rRNA from 1 species